AACCAGUUUAAGGACUAUACGAUAAAUCCUCUUUUAUCGAUCAAAGUAGUCUUAAGGACUUCAUCACAAUACAUGAGUUCAUUAGAAGAUGUAACUUUAUGAUGAAAAAGGCCAAAUAACUUUUAUUAUUGAUCAAUUCAUAUAUAUUUAUAAUUAGCACAAUCAUCAAACGAUUGACUUUAAGAUAUAUUUUCCAACAGUAGAUGUGGCAUCCUCAUCUUAUAAGGCA
rnacentral:lncRNA from 1 species